GGUUGACCUCGGAUCAGGUAGGGAUACCCGCUGAACUUAAGCAUAUCAAUAAGCGGAGGAAAAGAAACCAACAGGGAUUGCCUCAGUAACGGCGAGUGAAGCGGCAAGAGCUCAAAUUUGAAAGCUGGCUCCUUCGGGGUCCGCAUUGUAAUUUGCAGAGGAUGCUUCGGGCAUGGCCCCCGUCUAAGUGCCCUGGAAGGGGCCGUCAUAGAGGGUGAGAAUCCCGUCUGGGACGGGGUGUCCGUGUCCAUGUGAAGCUCCUUCGACGAGUCGAGUUGUUUGGGAAUGCAGCUCUAAAUGGGUGGUAAAUUUCAUCUAAAGCUAAAUACUGGCCGGAGACCGAUAGCGCACAAGUAGAGUGAUCGAAAGAUGAAAAGCACUUUGAAAAGAGAGUUAAACAGCACGUGAAAUUGUUGAAAGGGAAGCGUUUGCGACCAGACUCGCCCGCGGGGUUCAGCCGGCAUUCGUGCCGGUGUACUUCCCCGUGGGCGGGCCAGCGUCGGUUUGGGCGGCCGGUCAAAGGCCUCCGGAAUGUAUCACCUCUCGGGGUGUCUUAUAGCCGGGGGUGCAAUGCGGCCUGCCUGGACCGAGGAACGCGCUUCGGCUCGGACGCUGGCGUAAUGGUCGUAAAUGACC
rnacentral:rRNA from 1 species